GACGAACGCUGGCGGCGUGCUUAACACAUGCAAGUCGAGCGGUAAGGCCCUUUCGGGGUACGACGAGCGGCGAACGGGUGAGUAACACGUGGGUGGACCUGCCCUUACGCUCUGGGAGUAAGCCUGGGAAACGUAGGGUCGUAAUACCGGAUAUGACUCCAUGACGCAUGUUGUGGGGUGGAAAGCCUUGUGCGGCUGAGGAUGGGCCCGCGGCCUAUCAGCUUGUUGGUGGGGUGAUGGCCUACCAAGGCGACGACGGGUAGCCGGCCUGAGAGGGCGACCGGCCACACUGGGACUGAGACACGGCCCAGACUCCUACGGGAGGCAGCAGUGGGGGAAUCUUGCGCAAUGGGCGAAAGCCUGACGCAGCGACGCCGCGUGAGGGAUGACGGCCCUCGGGUUGUAAACCUACUUCAGCUCCGACGAAGCGAGAGUGAC
rnacentral:rRNA from 1 species